rnacentral:misc_RNA from 1 species
CCCGAAAGCUCCAUAAAAAUUAUUUUCCACCGCGGACAGCUCGUCUUCCAAUUUAUUCCCAUUCGACUCGCUCCCGAUACAUAUUCAAGAAUCGAUAUUCCCCGCCUGCCCCCGAAAAAAAUUCUUUUGUGCCAAAUAUUGGAAUUGCUUUUUUCCUCGAAAGCCGCCUUUGUGCUCGCAAGCCACGCGAACCGAAAACGGGAUGAAAAGAGCACGUGGAUGUCAUGCAGGGCAAUGACCGAGAUAAGGGCGACACCACGCAACCAACCCCUGUCGGUUUCGACCCUCGUUAACGCGACCCAGUACCGACUCCUGGCAUAACCAGGCACAGAAACGCUGAAAUCGUACUCCCAUUAGUUCCGGAAACCGUGGCAGAACGAUAUUUGUUGCGGAACAUUAUUUUAAGCGCACGCGAACAUAAAUGCAACGACGAGAACUUAUUGCAGAGUGAAACCGUGGCAGAUAUUUUGUGACUAACAAAAGGAAAAAA